CCUAGUUACCAGCACGUUAUGGUGGGCACUCUAAGGAGGACUGCCGGUGGACAAACCGGAGGAAGGUGGGGAUGACGUCAAGUCAUCAUGGCCCUUACGGCCUGGGCUACACACGUGCUACAAUGGUCGGUACAAAGGGUUGCCAAGCCGCGAGGUGGAGCUAAUCCCAUAAAACCGAUCGUAGUCCGGAUCGCAGUCUGCAACUCGACUGCGUGAAGUCGGAAUCGCUAGUAAUCGUGAAUCAGAAUGUCACGGUGAAUACGUUCCCGGGCCUU
rnacentral:rRNA from 1 species